rnacentral:rRNA from 1 species
AUGGCUUUAAGAAACACCGCUGUAUUCCUCGUCAGACUGCUGCUCUCGUGCGUCGCCAUGAGCGGCGCGGCAAGAAUUCUGGAGGAGGAGACAACUCCUUCCAAAGGCGAGGAGCACCUGCCCGAGCUGCCAACGCUGCCCAAGGUCGGGCUGCCGCCAUUCCCGGAGGUGCACCCGCCACCUAAGCCCGAGUUGCUCAAGGUAGAGCUGCUCGCGUUCCCUGAGGUGCACCUGCCACCCAAGCCCGAGCUGCCAACAUUUCCGGAGGUGCACCUUCCAGCCAAGCCGGAGCUGCUGCCACCGAAGCCAGAGAUGCCCACCAUCCCGGAGUUCCACUUCACGGAACCGGAGGCUAAGCCAUGA